UUUCAACAAACAGUAACUGAGAUCCAAGUCAAAUUCAUCUCCUCCCUGUGAGGAGGAGUCAAUGCAAAACUCAGAUGUCUUCCACCUCUACUUAUCUGACUGCAGAGAGGAUGACAGAGAACAGUGGACACACAGUUUAACAUGAUGGACUAUAGGACAGGACUGCUGCUUUUAACUGUCUGCUGGGCAGGUGUUGAUGGUCAGACACUGACAGAAUCUGAACCAGUUGUUAAAAGGCCUGGAGAAUCCCACAGAUUGACCUGUACAGCCUCUGGAUUCACAUUCAGCAGCUACCGUAUGAGCUGGAUCAGACAGGCUCCUGGAAAAGGACUAGAUUGGAUCGCUUAUAUAAGCACAUCUAGUUCUCCUAUCUAUUACUCCCAGUCAGUCCAGGGUAGAUUCAUCAUCUCCAGAGAUGACUCCAGCAGUAAGCUCUAUCUACAGAUGAACAAUCUGAAGACCGAGGACACAGCAGUGUAUUACUGUGCCAGAGAGACACAGUGAGAGACAAUAACAGGAGAGUCAUACAAAAACU